rnacentral:rRNA from 1 species
UAUGGUUCUUAGAUUAGAUAAGACUACCCGCUGAAUUUAAGCAUAUAACUAAGCGGAGGAAAAGAAACUAACAAGGAUUCCCCUAGUAACGGCGAGUGAAGCGGGAAGAGCUCACCAUGUGAAUCUCUAUAACCAGCAAUGGUAUAGCGAAUUGUGGUCUGGAGAAGUAUUGUCGGCCGUGAAUCCGGGCCAAGUCUCUUGGAAAAGGGCAGCUGAGACGGUGAAACUCCCGUUCUUGCCUGGAAUCAUUGCGCUCUGGCACAUGCUUUCUACGAGUCGAGUUGUUUGGGAUUACAGCUCAAAGUAUGUCGUAACUUCGAUAUAAAGCUAAAUAUUGGUGGGACACCGAUAGUGUACAAGUACCGUGAGGGAAAGAUGCAAAGAACUUUGAAAAGAGAGUUAAAGAGUACCUGAAAUUGUUAAAAGGGAGGCGAAGGAAACCAGUGUUUGGCGAAUCCAUUCUUCCCAAGCUACUUGUAGUUUGGGCGCUGUGGUUAGCAAUAGUCAGCAUUGGCUUAAUCUGGGUCAAACGUUUGGUGGGUAGGCGGCUCUUCGGAGUUAGUGCCCAUCUUUCAUGCUCUGGAUUGGGCUGAGGUCAGUCACUCUGUGCUCGUGAUGCUGGCAAAAUGGUUUUCUUUACCCCGUCUUGAAACACGGACCAAGGAGUCUAA